GUCUCAGUAGCUCAAUUGGAUAGAGCAUCCCCCUCCUAAGGGGAAGGUUGGCAGUUCGAACCUGCCCUGGGACG
rnacentral:tRNA from 1 species